CCUACGGGUGUGCUGCAGUGAGGAAUAUUGGUCAAUGGUCGGGAGACUGAACCAGCCAAGCCGCGUGAGGGAUGAAGGUACAGAGUAUCGUAAACCUCUUUUGUCAGGGAACACAGGCGGGGACGCGUCCCCGGAUGAGUGUACCUGACGAAAAAGCAUCGGCUAACACCGUGCCAGCAGCCGCGGUACUACGGGGGAUGCGAGCGUUAUCCGGAUUUAUGGGGUUUAAGGGGUGCGCAGGCGGUCUGUUAAGUCAGCGGUCAAACCCCGGGGCUCAACCCCGGCCCGCCGUUGAAACUGGCAGUCUCGAGUUGGAGAGAAGUAUGCGGAAUGCGCGGGGUAGCGGUGAAAUGCAUAGAUAUCGCGCAGAACUCCGAUUGCGAAGGCAGCAUGCCGGCUCCACACUGACGCUGAGGCACGAAAGCGUGGGUAUCGAACAGGAGUAGAUACCCGGGUAGUC
rnacentral:rRNA from 1 species